rnacentral:rRNA from 1 species
AGUGAGCGGCAAAAGCUCAAUUUGAAUCUAGCACCUUCGGUGUUCGAGUUGUAAUUUGAAGAUGGUAACCUUGGGUUUGGCUCUUGUCUAUGUUCCUUGGAACAGGACGUCAUAGAGGGUGAGAAUCCCGUCUGAUGAGAUGCCCAUUCCUAUGUAAGGUGCUAUCGAAGAGUCGAGUUGUUU